rnacentral:rRNA from 1 species
GUGAGGAAUUUUCCGCAAUGGGCGAAAGCCUGACGGAGCAAUGCCGCGUGAAGGAUGAAGGCCUAUGGGUUGUAAACUUCUUUUCUCAGAAAAGAAUUAUGACGGUAUCUGAGGAAUAAGCAUCGGCUAACUCUGUGCCAGCAGCCGCGGUAAGACAGAGGAUGCAAGCGUUAUCCGGAAUGAUUGGGCGUAAAGCGUCUGUAGGUUGUUUAAAAAGUAUUCUGUCAAAGAUUAGGGCUUAACCCUAGAUAGGCAGAAUAAACUUUUAAGCUAGAUUUUGGUAGAGGCAGAGGGAAUUCCCGGUGGAGCGGUGAAAUGCGUAGAUAUCGGGAGGAACACCAAAGGCGAAGGCACUCUGCUGGGCCAAUACUAACACUGAGAGACGAAAGCGAGGGGAGCAAAUGGGAUUAGAAACCCCAGUAGUCC